AAACAAUGGGAGCAAGCAAAGGGUAGAGUGAGUUUCCCUGAGACAUCAUUAACUCAACAAAAUGUUUUGAGUGUGUUUCAUGUGCCAGGUAUCCUAAGAACUAGGGAUGGAGCAUGAAUAAGACUUUGUUCCUGUUCUCAUGGUAUUGACAAUUUAGCAGAGGCCAGGAGGAAUCCAUCUGAAAAAAAAACGUUCCGUCAGGCCUGGAUCAGAGAUUCUAGCCCUGAACAGAAGCCGCACUCAGUAGAGUAAGUGAACAUUCACAGAGGACUUACUAUAUGUUAGACACCAUGCUAAUCAUGGUGUACAGCAUCCAUGUUCCCUUAAAAACCCCAGAUCCGCUUCUUCUGUGAGAAAACACCAAAUGGCGGAUGACGCCGGUGCAGCGGGGGGGCCCGGGGGCCCUGGUGGCCCUGGGAUGGGGAACCGCGGUGGCUUCCGUGGAGGUUUCGGCAGUGGCAUCCCGGGCCGGGGUCGCGGCCGUGGACCGGGCCGGGGCCAAGGCCGCGGAGCUCGCGGAGGCAAGGCCGAGGAUACGGAGUGGAUUCCCAUCACCAAUCUGGGGUGCUUGGUCAAGGACAUGAAGAUCAAGUCCCUGGAGGAGAUCUAUCUCUUCUCCCUGCCCAUUAAGGAAUCAGAGAUCAUUGACUUUUUUCUGGGGGCUUCUCUCAAGGAGGAGGUUUUGAAGAUUAUGCCAGUGCAAAAGCAGACCCGUGCCGGCCAGCACACCAGGUUCAAGGCCUUUGUUGCUGUCGGGGACUACAAUGGCCACGUCGGUCUGGGUGUUAAGUGCUCCAAGGAGGUGGCCACCGCCGUCCGUGGGGCCAUCAUCCUGGCCAAGCUCUCCAUUGUCCCCGUGCGCAGAGGCUACUGGGGGAACAAGAUCGGCAAGCCCCACACCGUCCCUUGCAAGGUGACAGGCCGCUGCGGCUCUGUGCUGGUGCACCUCAUCCCUGCACCCAGGGGCACUGGCAUCGUCUCCGCACCUGUGCCCAAGAAGCUGCUCAUGAUGGCUGAUAUCGAUGACUACUACACCUCAGCCCGGGGCUGCACUGCCACCCUGGGCAACUUUGCCAAGGCCACCUUUGAUGCCAUUUCUAAGACCUACAGCUACCUGACCCUCGACCUCUGGAAGGAGACUGUAUUUACCAAGUCUCCCUAUCAGGAAUUCACUGACCACCUCGUCAAGACCCGCACCAGAGUCUCCGUGCAGCGGACCCAGGCUCCAGCUGUGGCUACAACAUAGGGUUUUUACACAAGAAAAAUAAAGUGAAUUAAGCGUGGAAAAAAAAAAAA